rnacentral:tRNA from 2 species
GGCGAGGUAGCUCAGGUGGUUAGAGCGUCGGAUUCAUAACCCGGAGGUCGGGAGUUCAAUUCUCCCCUUCGCUACAA